GCUAUAGCCAAACGGUAAGGCAGCGGACUCUGACUCCGUCAUUGUGAAGGUUCGAAUCCUUCUAGC
rnacentral:tRNA from 1 species